rnacentral:rRNA from 1 species
AGUGAACGCUGGCGGUAGGCCUAACACAUGCAAGUCGAACGGCAGCACAGUAAGAGCUUGCUCUUACGGGUGGCGAGUGGCGGACGGGUGAGGAAUACAUCGGAAUCUACUUUUUCGUGGGGGAUAACGUAGGGAAACUUACGCUAAUACCGCAUACGACCUACUGGUGAAAGCAGGGGAUCUUCUGACCUUGCGCGAUUGAAUGAGCCGAUGUCGGAUUAGCUCGUUGGCGGGGUAAAGGCCCAGCAAGGCGACGAUCCGUAGCUGGUCCGAGAGGAUGAUCAGCCACACUGUAACUGAGACUCGGUCCCGACUCCUAGGGGGGGCCGCAGUGGAGAAUAUUGCACGAUGGGCGCAAGCCUGAUCCAGCAAUACCGCGUGGAUGAAGAACGACUUCGGGUUGUAAAGCCCUUUUGUUGGGAAAGAAAUGAAGCAGGUUAAUACCCCGCUGUUAUGACGGUACCCAAAGAAUAAGCACCGGCUAACUUCGUG